UCCGCCAUAGGUAGCACCGCAGCCACUGCACUAGGUACGGUGGGCCCGGACCGAAGAAGCGACUGGUACGACGGCGAAUACGAGCAGUUAGUCGAAGAGAAGAAUGCAGCAUGGGCGAGAAUGCUGCAACACCGCACGAGGGCGAACGAGGCGCGAUAUAAACAGGCACGGAACAGGCAGAACUCGGUUUUCCGGACCAAAAAGCGCCAGCAGGAAGACCGAGAUCGCGAAGCGAUGGAGCAGCCAACGACACGACUAGACACUGGCAUUCCAAAACUGUAUCGAAAAUCCGACUACCCCCCAGUGACUCAGGUAACUGGUAAUGUCAAAUAUGACAUUUGGUAGAAAAUGCAUGAAACUAGCAGCACUUAUGAAUCUGUUAUUUUCUUUUAACAAUCUGCUCCUAUAGUUACCGUUGCUUCUCCUGGUUACUAUCACUCAUUUUUGAAUAAUAAAAAAAUACAGUCGACAAAUUCCGGAAAUUAUAGGGAUGAUAUCAAGGAGCGUAAUAAUUGUAUAUAGUGUCAUCAACGUUGGUCCAUCGUGUGUGAUACGGCGAAAGCUUCAAAGUUCUUUAUAGGUUUGGAAAUUUUCGAAUGGGAUUCAUCAUAACAGAUUGACAAAGUUCACGUACUAGCCAGUCGACAGGAACCUUUGUUUUUUUCAUGCACGACGUGGUGAUUGUAAGUCUUCUGAUUGAAUCUGGUUAAUGAACAGGUGCAGUAUUGUCCUAGCAGUGUGUCAGUAAAUCAGCCAAAAUCUCUUAUUUAGCGACUUAAAAAAAACAUAUUUUUACUAGAACGAUGUAUAUUGGUCGGGCGAUGGCUCCUCAAAAGGAAACCUGUGAUCCAUUCGUUUGUACGAAAAGGGGCUGUGGCUAGUGUUUAAAUGGGCGGCAGCGACUAAUGACAUGUAAAAUAUGAUGCUGAAAAUAUUGCCAUUGUACGGGACUAGGAAGUAGACUGAAACUAAAGCAAAGACAAUCCAGGCAUUCCGGUCUCUAUACUUAGUUUCGACGAAGCUGUCACGGAAGCGAUGUGCAAUUUUCAUCGUCAUUACUAUAAGGGCCAAGAUAGGCGCAGAUCUAAAAACAAAUGGAGGGAGCAGUAAUAAGAAUUUAAAUAAAAUUAGUAGAACAUUUGGUUUGAAAAUAAAACAAAUUGUAUUGUAUUAACUAUCA